rnacentral:rRNA from 1 species
UACGAAGGGGGCUAGCGUUGUUCGGAAUCACUGGGCGUAAAGCGCACGUAGGCGGAUGUGUCAGUCAGGGGUGAAAUCCCGGAGCUCAACUUCGGAACUGCCUCUGAUACAGCACGUCUUGAGUCCGGAAGAGGUGGGUGGAAUUCCUAGUGUAGAGGUGAAAUUCGUAGAUAUUAGGAAGAACACCGGUGGCGAAGGCGGCCCACUGGUCCGGUACUGACGCUGAGGUGCGAAAGCGUGGGGAGCAAACACG